rnacentral:rRNA from 1 species
UACGAGAGGUCCAAACGUUAUUCGGAAUUACUGGGCUUAAAGAGUUCGUAGGCGGCGCAGAAAGUAGGGUGUGAAAGCCCUCGGCUCAACCGAGGAAUUGCGCUCUAAACUACUGUGCUUGAGGAAUCUAGAGGUGAGCGGAACUGAUGGUGGAGCGGUGAAAUGCGUUGAUAUCAUCAGGAACACCGGAGGCGAAGGCGGCUCACUGGGGAUUUUCUGACGCUGAGGAACGAAAGCCAGGGGAGCGAACGGG